rnacentral:rRNA from 1 species
AGAACGAACGCUGGCGGCAUGCCUAACACAUGCAAGUCGAACGAGACCUUCGGGUCUAGUGGCGCACGGGUGCGUAACGCGUGGGAAUCUGCCCUUGGGUUCGGGAUAACAGUUGGAAACGACUGCUAAUACCGGAUGAUGACUUCGGUCCAAAGAUUUAUCGCCCAGGGAUGAGCCCGCGUAGGAUUAGGCUAGUUGGUGAGGUAAAGGCUCGACCAAGGCGACGAUCCUUAGCUGGUCUGAGAGGAUGAAUCAGCCACACUGGGGACUGGAGA